GCCUCCAUAGCACAACGGUUAAUUCGCCAACUUUCGUGGGAGACGUCCCGCAUGCACAAGGUGGUUACCAAGUGGUGGAGGGUUCGAUCCCCUCAGGAGGCA